AAAGCGUAACAAGGUCUCCGUUGGUGAACCAGCGGAGGGAUCAUUACCGAGUUUACAACUCCCAAACCCCUGUGAACAUACCACUUGUUGCCUCGGCGGAUCAGCCCGCUCCCGGUAAAACGGGACGGCCCGCCAGAGGACCCCUAAACUCUGUUUCUAUAUGUAACUUCUGAGUAAAACCAUAAAUAAAUCAAAACUUUCAACAACGGAUCUCUUGGUUCUGGCAUCGAUGAAGAACGCAGCAAAAUGCGAUAAGUAAUGUGAAUUGCAGAAUUCAGUGAAUCAUCGAAUCUUUGAACGCACAUUGCGCCCGCCAGUAUUCUGGCGGGCAUGCCUGUUCGAGCGUCAUUUCAACCCUCAAGCACAGCUUGGUGUUGGGACUCGCGUUAAUUCGCGUUCCUCAAAUUGAUUGGCGGUCACGUCGAGCUUCCAUAGCGUAGUAGUAAAACCCCUCGUUACUGGUAAUCGUCGCGGCCACGCCGUUAAACCCCAACUUCUGAAUGUUGACCUCGGAUCAGGUAGGAAUACCCGCUGAACUUAAGCAUAUCAAUAAAGCGGGAGGAA
rnacentral:rRNA from 1 species